AGAUGUGAGGGCAAUCUGGUUGUGACGUCUGUCACUCCAUCGAUCACCAGGGCUGAUUUGGCCCCUCUGGCUGGCUAGGUGGGUGUCCCCUUCCUCUCUCACUGCUCCAUGUGUGACCUUCCCAACGAUUGGUCAAAGAGGACAAUCUUCCCUGAAAAAAGAGGACUGUUCUUCAGUGGAGGGUGUUGGAGUAGCUGUGUCAGAACCUCCAAACAAGCUCUCAAGGUCCAUUUGUAGGGAGCACAUUUGUUCUGGAGUCUGUGAAUGAAGCUUCCCAGACUCCAGACACAUCCAGAUGAGGUGCUGCGUGUGGCAGUCUGCCUUUAUUA
rfam:Canis lupus familiaris chromosome 15, whole genome shotgun sequence.